AACGGCCGUACCAUGCUGAAUAUACCGGUUCUCGUUAGAUCACCGAAGUCAAGCAUCAUUGGGCGAGGUCAGUACUUGGGUGGGUGACCACCUGGGAACACCACGUGCCGUU
rnacentral:rRNA from 1 species